rnacentral:rRNA from 1 species
UACAGGGGGGGGCAAGCGUUUGUUCGGAAUUACUGGGCGUAAAGGGCUCGUAGGUGGCCGACUAAGUCAGACGUGAAAUCCCUCAGCUUAACUGGGGAACUGCGUCUGAUACUGGAUGGCUUGAGUUUGGGAGAGGGAUGCGGAAUUCCAGGUGUAGCGGUGAAAUGCGUAGAUAUCUGGAGGAACACCGGUGGCGAAGGCGGAUCUCUGGGCCUGUCCUGACGCUCAGGCGCGAAAGCUAGGGGAGCGAACAGG